CGUAGCCUACGGGAGGCAGCAGUGAGGAAUAUUGGUCAAUGGCCGAGAGGCUGAACCAGCCACGUCGCGUGAGGGAUGACGGCCCUACGGGUUGUAAACCUCUUUUGUCGGGGAGCAAGACCCGCCUCGUGCAGGCGGAGCGAGAGUACCCGAAGAAAAAGCAUCGGCUAACUCCGUGCCAGCAGCCGCGGUAAUACGGAGGAUGCGAGCGUUAUCCGGAUUUAUUGGGUUUAAAGGGUGCGCAGGCGGCACGGCA
rnacentral:rRNA from 1 species